rnacentral:lncRNA from 1 species
CAAGUAACUUCGACGGCUGACUCUUUCUUUUUUUUCAAGUAUCUUGGACACUCUAAAGGAUGAAAGAAUCUAAAGAAAGAAGAGAGGAGGAGGAGAGGAGCUCUGGAAAAAUAAAAACUAGCAAGGAAGUUUAUGUAUCACGCCAAGAAGAGGAGGAGCCACCCUUUUAUAGACUUGGAAUUAGGGUUUUCAACGAAGAGAGGGCGCCAAGAGUCCAUGCCAAAACACUUUUGGCAUUCCAAAAAAUUCUAAAAAAAUCUCUUUAAUGUUGAGAAGAAUUUUGAUGUCUCACACACCCA